rnacentral:rRNA from 1 species
UCCGUAGGGGGCAAGCGUUGUCCGGAUUUAUUGGGCGUAAAGCGCGUGUAGGCGGCCAGGUAGGUCAGCUGUGAAAACUCGAGGCUCAACCUUGAGCUGUCGGUGGAAACCGUGUGGCUAGAGUCCGGAAGAGGAGAGUGGAAUUCCCGGUGUAGCGGUGAAAUGCGUAGAUAUCAGGAGGAACACCGGUGGUGAAGGCGGCUUUCUGGACCGUAACUGACGCUGAGACACGAAAGCGUGGGUAGCAAACAGG